AAGUGCGGAUAGAGAUUUUGAACUGUGAAGUGAGUAGCCUUCUCCACAUAUUUCAGAAAUCGAAGGGAUUUUGUUCAGUUCUUUUGAUGACCUCUCUUCUUCC